rnacentral:rRNA from 1 species
GAUGAACGCUAGCUACAGGCUUAACACAUGCAAGUCGAGGGGAAACGACAUCGAAAGCUUGCUUUUGAUGGGCGUCGACCGGCGCACGGGUGAGUAACGCGUAUCCAACCUGCCCAUCACUUGGGAAUAACCUUGCGAAAGUAAGACUAAUACCCAAUGACAUCCCACGAAGACAUCUGAAUGGGAUUAAAGAUUUAUCGGUGAUGGAUGGGGAUGCGUCUGAUUAGCUUGUUGGCGGGGUAACGGCCCACCAAGGCAACGAUCAGUAGGGGUUCUGAGAGGAAGGUCCCCCACAUUGGAACUGAGACACGGUCCAAACUCCUACGGGAGGCAGCAGUGAGGAAUAGUGGGCAAGGGGCGAGAGCCUGAACCAGCCAAGUAGCGUGCAGGAUGACGGCCCUAUGGGUGGUAAACUGCUUUUAGAAGGGAAUAAAGUGGGUCUCGGGAGACUUUUUGCAUGUACCUUAUGAAUAAGGACCGGCUAAUUCCGUG